CACGUAGGGCGCAAGCGUUGUCCGGAAUUAUUGGGCGUAAAGAGCUCGUAGGCGGUUUGUCGCGUCUGCUGUGAAAACCUAAGGCUCAACCUUGGGCUUGCAGUGGGUACGGGCAGACUAGAGUGCGGUAGGGGUGACUGGAAUUCCUGGUGUAGCGGUGGAAUGCGCAGAUAUCAGGAGGAACACCGAUGGCGAAGGCAGGUCACUGGGCCGCAACUGACGCUGGAGGAAGCGAAAGCAUGGGGAGCGAACAGG
rnacentral:rRNA from 1 species